rnacentral:rRNA from 1 species
AACGAACGCUGGCGGCAGGCUUAACACAUGCAAGUCGAACGCAUCGCAAGAUGAGUGGCAGACGGGUGAGUAACACGUGGGAACGUGCCCUUUGGUUCGGAACAACUCAGGGAAACUUGAGCUAAUACCGGAUGUGCCCUUCGGGGGAAAGAUUUAUCGCCAUUGGAGCGGCCCGCGUCUGAUUAGCUAGUUGGUGAGGUAAAGGCUCACCAAGGCGACGAUCAGUAGCUGGUCUGAGAGGAUGAUCAGCCACAUUGGGACUGAGACACGGCCCAAACUCCUACGGGAGGCAGCAGUGGGGAAUCUUGCGCAAUGGGCGAAAGCCUGACGCAGCCAUGCCGCGUGAAUGAUGAAGGUCUUAGGAUUGUAAAAUUCUUUCACCGGGGACGAUAAUGACGGUACCCGGAGAAGAAGCCCCGGCUAACUUCGUGCCAGCCGCCGCCGUAAAAC